GGAUACGAGGUAAAAGGCGUUGAGGAGCAGUUGGGCUAUAAAAUAUAUCGUGCCAUCUCUAAAUAUAAUUCCCGAGAUAGUCGGAAAGCUACGCAUUGACUUCCGACUCCUAAACGUGGCGGACCAGGUGGUACUCAGCACCGCGAUGUCGGCGAGUACGAGGGAUAGCCGGCUAGCAAGUACCGCUAGGACCAAGGAAUGCG
rnacentral:misc_RNA from 1 species